rnacentral:lncRNA from 1 species
UUUGGAUUAUUGCCUCCUCCGAUGGAAAGAAGAGUAGUGAUUGAUGGGUUCUUUAUUUUGACAGUGUCUGUGAAGUUGGAGAAUUGUUUUUCAUCAGAAGGUGAUAAAGAAAGCUCAUAGGAAGUUGAGUUGACAUCGGCAAAACCACACAUAAGGUGAGUGAAAAGAGCAGAAUUUACAUCUGAAACGGGGAACCCACCGUCUGAAUCCCAGUAACCAGCUCUGAUUAAAGUUUGUGCCCUUGCAGGAAGCGAUUCUGAAAAUAUAAAAAUGUAGAGUACAAGAAUGAUAAUUUUGGAUGCCAUUGUGGGAACCUUGCUGCUUUGAGGCAAACCUAGUAUGUGAUUACAUAUAUAUGUACAGACACAAAAUGUAAUGGAGAAAAUAUCCGACACCGAUUGAGAUUUGUUAUUGGACUAUAAUACAAACUUGAGGCAACUUUCAACUCAUGAGCUUAGCUCAUAAGUCUUUAUACGGUAUCAAAGUCAAGUUUCGAAAGAGUGACUCUAUACUACCUUUCAAUUUAACAAAGAGAAAGAAAAGAGAUCAGCCUACACGUGGUAGGAAGAUAGAAAAAGUAUAUCACAUUGGCUAAGAUUAAUUACUAGGUUGAUAAUAUAAGCUCAAAACAACAUUUAACUGUUGCGGAAAUGUGGGUUGAGCAAUUACUAAUACUGCAACUUCUGAAGAAAUAUAAAUGUGGUGUUAAACAAAUGCAAAGAAAAUAUAACACAAUGAUUUACGUGGUUCGGCGUAAUGCUUACAUCCACAGGCAAAAACUAAAAGAUAAUUUUACUAACAAUGAAAAUUUACAAAAGUGAGAAAAAUUCACAAAACCCACAACCCCAAUACACCCAAAUGAAACCUAACUAGAACACUCAAAUGGAAGCUCUCGUAAAUUCUCUCAAAGAACUCACUUGCAAUUGCUCUCUCCAUUUCUUUCAAAUUGGGAUGAUUUACAAAUGCAUUUUGCUUCUCUAUUUAUAGGCAAAGCAUGCUCACCCACCACACGGCUUCAAUUUGACUUUAAUUGGCUAAAUUGACAAAUUUGGCAAUUGGUGCCAAAUUUGUCAUGCAAUGCAUGCUAGCUGUUCCAUGCCAUUUAUUCAAUUUGCAUAUUUUCAAAACCUAACUUUGCUUUUUUGAAAUUGGUAAGCCGACCAUUUGACUUUUCAACAUCAACUCCAUAACAAGCUGUAAUUUAAUAAAGUUAGGUCAACUCGAUAUUUUAUAUAGUACGUCAUGAGUGAGGAGGAGUUUAAGCUACAAAUCGCAGUCAUGAGUGAGGACAAAUUUGAUUCUCUCAAGAUUUUGCGUUUUGUACACGUUGAUCAUGGACUGAAUCAAAAUAGAAAAUAUUUUCACAGGAGUUUGCCUUCAAAUUGCACGAAUGGAACCAUAGAGGAAUACAUCGAAAAGUUUGUCUUCUUGCCAUGAUGUUAAGUGAGAAGAUUGAAGUUCUUAAAUUAAGCUAUGACGUUUUACCUCCACUUAGCUUGACUUCUGAAGCUGAAGACUCAUCCUUUUGCAUUGACUUUGUUGGUAUUUAAAUGACCUCGGAGUCUUGGACGUGUUUCUGAAGCAAUGUCAUGGUCUAUGAGUAGAUUUUAUUUUUUGGGUAAGAAAGGGAAAGUCUGUCGUUAGGAAAACAUCCUGACAACGAGAUGGUGAGAGGGGAUGAAAAAGAAAUUAUACACUUAGUUACUUCCUCAUGAUAAGAUUCAGUGGUAUUGUAAUUUUAAUAAAAAAUUAAGACCAUUUUGCCUUUUUCCUUGUGUAAUUUAAUUUUCAGUCAAGACCACCCUCCCAUUUUAGUACAGGGAAAUUAUCAUUUGUAUAUUCUUAGUUUACUCCAUUAUCAAAAAUAUUACAACACUUUGAGGGUGUAUCAAUCGUCUACCCUAAGUUGACAAAAUGUAUUAGCUGACCACCAAACCGUUAGUUGCCGUUUAAGUAUGAUGAUAUCAGAAGGGUAAUUUGGUUUUUUCAUAUGAUACAAGUGAUAAUUUAAGGGUAUACAAGUGAUAAAAAGAGAAUUUAAGGGUAUACAAGUGAUAAUUUUCAAGGGUAAAAUCGUCAAUUCACUGUAAUUCCGUUAACUUUCAAACGGCAACUAACGGUUUGGUGGUCGGCUGAUACAUUUUGUCAACUAAGGGUGGACGAUUGAUACACCCUCAAAGUGUUGUAGUAGUUUUGAUAACAGAGCAAAUAUAAGGUAUACGAAUGAUAAUUUUCCUUUAGUAUAAAAGCCUAUACAAAUGUACGUUUUACUCAAUGUUUACAUAGAAACAAAUGGCGCGAAGACGAUUUGUCAAUCUAGUACCACUCUCGUAUACUUGGUAAGAUUUGGCUUCACCAAAUUGUAGCCUAUAUUUUACUUUAAUGAGAAAAUCAAAUAAUAUAUGUUUGAACAAAUAAUUUUCUUUGCUCUAUAUACUUUCUUAAAAUGUAUGGAGUGGGUAAAGUAUAAAUUGAUCUCUUAGCCCGUUGACUCCUCCAAAAUUCAAACUCAAUUUAAUGGUAAGUUAAAUAAUGCUACUUGAAAAUCAUUCCACCAAAUAUCAUAAAAACUAUAAUUAAGUUUCACUGAUUAUUGAAUUAUAGAAUGUGCUAUCAUUUCCUAGCUAGAAUUUGUUUAAUUCUAUUAAUUUACAAUCAUUUUUAUUUUAUUUAAUUAAUUAAAGUGAAUUUAUUAUGUAUAAGUUCUAUAUAUGUAAAAUUUUAAAAUCUAAUGUUGAAUUGAAUUGUACUGAACUUUUUAUAAUUUUUUAUCACGCCUGCAAAUUUAACAGUUUUGUAUUAAUAUUGAUAGCACAUAAUAUAUAGGAUUAAGAGAGAUUGGUUUCGAGUUGCUACAAGCAUUUUGGGAUUGCAUGCACAAGGGUUUAUAAACAAAGGGUGCAAUUAAUUACCCCAAACGAGGGUGCAUUUUUAUGAUGAAAUAAAAACUACGUGCGGGGUUGUAAAAGUGGCUCCAUAAUUAAUGUACAUUAACAUUCAUCUAGCUAUCACCUCCGAAAAUGAUACAGCAUAAGCCGAGCAUUUUUCCAAUUGUGUUGUAGAUAAUAGUUCAAUCCCAAUUUCAUCAACUUGUUUUGAGAAAGGAGGCUUCUUGGGAGUAUUAAUAUUUGUGGUUCCAUUCUUGAGCAUUGAGGAAACUUCCAGCAUUGAAGGUCGGUCGUUUGGAUUCUCCUGGACACACAACAAAGCUAUUUCCAGACAUCUCAUUAAUUUACAAGGGGAAUUUGUAUUGUCUAGGAAUGAAUCCACAAACUCCACGCCUUUGCCACCUUUCCACAACUGAUAUGCCUGAAAUUAUCAAGUACCAUCUCGUUACAUAAUUUAUACUUCUUAAUUAAGUGCGCAUAUGUGUACUCAGGGUUACUAUAGCCGAAGAAACUUACGUGCUCUAGAAUGCUUAAAUUUUCAUUGAUGCCACAUAACACUGAAAGCCUCUUUCCACUUAUGAUUUGUAGAAGUAAAACUCCGAAACUAAAAACGUCUGAUUUGGUAGAGUAUACACCUUGUCUGGCGUACUCAGGAGGAAUAUAGCCUCUGCAUUCAAAAUAACCAAGUAUAUAUGAGUAAGGGAUUUUGCAAUUUAAUAAAUUUGUAAAACCCAUUUUAAAUUGUGGUAAAAGUCCAUUCCGCAUUUUAUUAAAGUGCUGAAUUCCUUAUUCGAAACCCAAUAUAUGUAUAACAAACAGAAGCUUGAGUAAAGGAUAUCAUUUAGUUGUGAUAUACUUACAUUGUUCCCACAACUUGUUCUGAUUCGCGUCGAGACUCUCUUUUGCAAAAAUUCUAGCCAUACCAAAAUUUGAAAUUUUAGGUUUCAUAUCUUGACCUAACAAAACAUUACUGGCUUUCAAGUCUCGAUGAAUAAUAGUCAGUCUUGAGUAUUCUUGGAGGUAUAAAAGUCCUUGAGUUAUCCCUUCAAUGAUAUGAACAUGUUUUUUCCAAUCCAAAAGAAGUCUUCUGAUGGGAUCUACAACAAAUAUAUAGUUUUGGACAAUAAGUGAUAUACAAGCGAAUUAUAUACACAAUUGAUAUUAACUUGAUUUCAGAACAAACCAAAAAGGUAGCAAUCCAAGCUUUUGUUUGGCAUGUAUUCGUAGACCAGCAUCCGUUCCUCACUGUCAAUGCAAAAACCUAAAACUCUAAUAAGAUUUACAUGUUGGAGUUUUGCAGUAAGAAUAACCUCAUUCUUAAACUCCUCAAAUCCCUGUGCGGAUGAUUUCGAAAGUUUCUUCACUGCUAUCACCACUCCACAGGGUAAUACACCCUGCAACCCAAAAAAAAACCACGUUCAUAUAAAGCUUUCACUAAUUAGAGACGCUGAGAAAUGUUAGCCAAACAAUAUGCUACCCCCCAAAGUUGAGGGCACCAUUUUAAGUCCUUUAGUCCCCAUGGACGCAAAAUGUAAAUCUCCUCUCACAGAAUAUGGAUAUGGGUAGAGGUAUCUUCCUCAAAUGUUAGUCAAAGUAGUUAUAUCCCUCUAGUGUGAGGUUAAAGGUCUCAUCUCUAAUAGGCAUAGAGUUUUAAAUUAUAUGUUUUGGGCCUCUGAAUUCUACGACGAGUGUACAAAUUCAAACUUCCGAUAGGAUCCAAAUUGCAACAUUGUGGAUUGUAACAAAUUAAAAUAUAGGUACACACACACACACACAUGUUACCUUGUAAACAGGACCAUAUCCACCCUCCCCAAGGUUAUUUCUAAUUGAAAAUCCCUCGGUGGCCGCCUCAAUAUCAGCCAAACUAUAUACUCUGAGAUUAGGAACAUUUCUGUUAAAGUCUCCAGCUUCUGUUUCAUUAUUUUCUCUCGUGUUUGAUGCUUUAGCAGAAUCCUCUGUUCCUAACAUCAACCAAGAGUAAAUAUUAGAUAAUUAAUUGUAUGUCAGCCUAAGUUUUAUAUAUAUAUGAAAUGCAUGCUUAAUUAUAAUUGGUAGCUGAAGCUUGUUACCUUCUAUUAACUUGAGCCUUUUCAUCUGGUUGUAUUUAUAUGCACAACAACUUAGAAGGAGAGUCAAAGCUGCCGCUGCAGUCGAAAUGAGUACCAAGGACAGAUGGCGGUUAUUACUAUGUUCAUCUUUGUCAGCUGAAGCAGAAGUAAUCCUGUCUUUUUGUGCUGGAAAUAUGUAUAGUUCAGCAAUUAAUAAUAACUAGCUAGAGAUGCCAUAACAAUCAUUAUUAAUCAGAGAGAACAAUUAUUGCAUAGAUAAAUACCUGCAGCUUGAGAAAGUACCCAAUUAUGAUCGUCAUAAUCAACUCGCCAAACAUAGUAACCAAGAAAUCUCUUCUCUUUGGCAUAGGCGAUCUUAGCUCUAACAGCCUCCACAUCAUCAAAACCAAACCAAAUCGUCCCAGUGGAGAAGUAAUUCACCACAUAAGUUGAAUUGUACAUAACUUGAACAUUAGGACCAUAGGUCUUGAUGUGAUUCUUGAUAUCCCUAUAGGUCACAAGGCCACCAUUACUCAUAGCUGGUCCUGCUGCUGCUACUCCAAUACCAUUGUCUUCAGGUUUCACAAGCGUCCAUGCAUAGCCGUAGAAAGGCAAACACAAAACCAACUUAUCAGCCAAUAACCCUCUCUAAAUCCAUGCCCUUAAAACCUGAUCAGUACUGUCAAAGAAGCUCAUAAUGCAUGGAAGGAUGCAGCACACGUGUGAGAUGAAUAUAGUCAGCUGAAUCAAUUGAAGAGUGGAGUGCCAGCUCAGCUGAAGUUAGUUAGACACGUUAAGAUCAAGUUUUAGUUAGUUCUUCAUUUUCUGUUAAGCUGAAAAACAGCUGAGUAUAAAUACAAGCAUAUUGUAAUCAUUUUGAGGUUAAGUAAAAAUAAAAUAAAGCAUUUGAUUCCAGAAUUUCUUUUACAAAUUUUCUUAGCACUUUAGAUACAUUUUCUCAGUAACCAAACAGUUUGUUCAUUCAAGCUUUUAAGCUUUCAAACAUGGUAUCAGAGCCUUACAGAGCUAGUUCCAGUAAUCAACAGUCAAGCCUUCGUAAUCAAACAACAAACAACACAAAUCAACCUACUCAAAUCAACUUCUCUUUUUCUAAUCCUAUCAAGCUAGAUCGAUCCAAUUACUUACUCUGGCGUUCUCAAGUUUUGGCCUCAAUAAGAGGCAAUCGUUUGGAAGAUUUCGUCACAAGAGCCAGAUCAGUACCUGAUAAGUGUCUUCUGUUAACUGAAGCAGAUGGAUCUACACAACAAGUUGAAAAUCCAGAAUAUCAGAUCUGGAGAUCACAGGAUCAGACACUUCUUGGCUGGCUACUGUUGUCAUUAAGUGAAGGUAUCUUAAGUCUUGUAAUCAAUUGUGAGAGUUCAUUUGAUAUAUGGAAAACUUUGGAAAAGAAAUUUGGAGUUCAAUCUGAAGCUCGAGUUCUUCAGCUCAGAUACGAACUAAACACUCUUAAAAAGGAAGCCCUUAGUGUUGAAGAUUAUUGUAUUAAAAUGAAAGCAAUAGCAGAUAAGCUGGCCAGUGCUGGUAGUUCAAUUACAGAGAAGGAUCUUAUGCUAACUAUUCUUAAUGGAUUAGGAUCAUGAUAUCGUGAUAUUGCUACAUUUAUAACUGGUUCACGAAUGGAGUUUGAUGAUGCUUAUGCACUGUUACUCACUCAUGAGACUAGAUUAGAGCAGGAGCAAGGUGACAAAAGUAUGUUUAAUGCAAACUAUGCAUACACAAAUGCAUAUUAUCCUAGAGCUUAUUUUGCACAGCCUAGAAGAAGUUUUAAACGAGGAGGUUAUUCUGGUGGUAGAACUCCUUUCUUUGGCAGAGGAAAUAUGAAUUACUCUCCAAGAAUGUUUAAUGGAGGCUUUAGAAAUGGAUAUGGCAGAGGAUUUUUUCCUGGAAAUAACUCAACUGAUUUCAAUCAUUUUCCAGCUCCUAGGAAUCCAGUACCUAGGAACUCAUCUUUUCCAGCUAGAAAUGGAUCUGCUAACAUGAGUGGAUCACAAGGAAGUUUUAAUAAUGCUGGAGAGAUGACAUGUCAGAUUUGUUUUAAGAAUGGCCAUACUGCUGAUGUCUGUUGGCACAGAUUUGUUGAAGAUUUUGUACCUGUUCCAAGAGGUUUUGGCAAGGGAAGAACACCAAGAGCAGCAUAUUUAUCAAACUUUGAUGGCUCCAUUUCUAAUCCAGAUUUUGGCUAUGAAAAUCUUAAUACUAUGUUUCCAGGUUAUGACUCUAUAUCUGGCAAUAGCUACUAUUCUGGAAUGGAUGGAUACACUUCUGGAGCAGCUAGAACAGCUUUCAUGGCAAAUUUUGAAGGGACUGCUGAUGAUGGAUGGUAUCUGGAUAGUGGGGCAACUCACCAUUUAACCAACAAUAUGGAGAAUUUGCAGAUCAAUGAAGAGUUUAAAGGUACUGAUUAGCUUAUCAUUGGAAAUGGUCAAGGUUUGUCUAUUACUCAUGUUGGACAUGCAUUUCUGGUAUUAAGAGCUUCUAAACCCUUAUCUACACAUGCUAGAAUAAAACUUAAAGAUAUGUUACUUGUCCCUUCAAUUACCAAAAAUCUAUUAAGUAUUUCUAAACUCACAUCUGAUAACCCUUUAUCUGUUGAAUUCUGUGGAAAUGCUUGUUUUGUGAAGGACAUGAAGGGUCAAGUUCUUCUGCAGGGUAUUGCUGAAAAAGGCCUUUACAAGCUGCUGCUGAACUCAAAUUCUCUUUCUUCAUCACCUACAUCUUAUCUUUGUAAAUCCCAGCCAAAUAAACUAGUCUCUAUGUUGUCUGCUUUCAAACACUCUGAUAAUGGUACUCGAGCUUGUUUUCAGUUUGUUUUAAAUAAGUGUAAUGCCAAACCUAAUGUAAUAACUUUGUUACAUAGAAAGUUUGGUCAUCCAAGCUCAAUGACAUUGAUGCAUUUGCUCAAAUCAUGUAAACAGUUUAAAGUCUCUCCAAAAGACAUGUUAUCUUCUGCAAGUACUUUAUGUGAAGCAUGUCAGCUAGGCAAAGUCCAUAAGCAACAUUUCUCAAUAACCGAAACAAAAACAAAAGAGGUAUUAGAAUUGAUCCAUACUGAUCUUUGGGGGCCUUCACCCACUGUGUCUAGAGAUGGAUACAAAUAUUACAUUAGUUUUGUGGAUGAUUACACUAGGUACUCUUGGAUCUAUCCUCUUAAGCUCAAAUCACAAGCAUUUGAAGUUUUCAAAUUGUGCAAAACUCAAGUUGAAAAUCAGUUUGAUACCAAAAUUAAGAUGCUACAAUCUGACCUUAGGGGAGAGUUUAGAGCAUUUACUGAUUUUCUCAAUCAAAAUGGAAUAAUCUUUAGGCACUCAUGUCCUUACAUCCAUCACCAGAAUGGUCUUGUUGAGAGGAAGCACAGGCAUAUAGUUGAACUAGGAUUAACCCUCAUGGCUCAAGCAAAUCUUCCUCUUCAAUUCUGGUGGGAAGCUGUUCAUACAGCAGUGUAUCAUAUUAAUAGAUUGCCUACCCCUGUUCUGAAAUUCUUAUCUCCUUAUGAGAAACUUUUCAAACACAAACCAGAUUACACAUUUCUAAAGUGUUUUGGUUGUCUUUGUUAUCCAUACUUGAGAGACUUUAACAAACAUAAGUUUGAUUUUCACACUUCUAAAUGCAUUUUUAUUAGAUACAAUCCCUCUUAUAAAGGAUACAAAUGCUUAGCAAGUUUUGGUAAAGUCUAUGUUCUUAGACAUGUCAUUUUUUAUGAAACACAUUCCCUUAUCCAAUAAACAUUGCAUUCUCAACAGAAAAUCACAUAUCUUCUAAAACCUCAGUGUCUAAUUUCUCUCAGCAACAUAUCUAUCAUCUUUCUACAAUAGCCUUACUCAACAGCAGCUUUGAAGGUCUUCAGUCAGCAAGCUCAGCAAGAAAUGAACAAAUGCCCUUUGGUCCCACACAUACAGAUGUUUUGAAUCAACAAGAACAUCCAUCACACACAUCCUUAGAGUUAUCAUCCUCAACCUCACCAUCACCAAACACAUUACUAAUGCAAUCAUCCAUUCUACAACCAGAGGAAACUUCUUCACAGAAUAUAGACCAAAUUCAAACCAGAAAUCAUUCCCAACCAUCUUCUCAUCCAAUGAUUACCAGAUCGAAAUCUGGAAUCUUCAAACCAAAGGUCUAUACAGUCACCUUAGCCAACAAAGAACCCAGUACAGUUCAAGAAGCUCUUAGUAGUCAGAAUUGGCAUCAAGCCAUGGUAGAUGAGUAUGAAGCUUUGAUGAAGAAUAAGACUUGGUCACUGGUACCAUUUUCAAAUGCAUACAAAGUAGUUGACAACAAAUGGGUGUUUAGACUCAAGCAAAAUACUGAUGGAAGCAUAGCCAAACACAAGGCCAGAUUGGUUGCCAAAGGUUUUCAGCAAACUGAAGGUGUGGAUUACUUUGAGACAUUUAGCCCAGUUGUAAAAGCUUCAACAGUGAGGAUUGUUUUGAGUUUAGCUGUGAUGCAUAAAUGGAAAAUAAGGCAAGUGGAUGUGAAUAAUGCCUUUUUGAAUGGAGAAUUGACAGAGGAUGUCUAUAUGUAUCAGCCUGAAGGUUUUAUUGAUCAACAAAAACCUAAUCAUGUAUGCAAGCUGAAGAAGGCCUUGUAUGGCUUAAAGCAAGCUCCUAGAGCUUGGUAUGACAAGCUUAAGAAUUGUCUGAUUGCUAAUUGGAAAUUUCAGAAUUCAAAGGCUGAUACCUCUCUUUUCUUCAAAGAAGUGCAGGGCUCAAUGAUACUCAUCUUAAUCUAUGUAGAUGACAUUCUAAUGACAGGACCUGACAAUGGUGAACUGGAGAAAUUCAUCUCAAAAUUCAGUAAGACUUUUGCUUUAAAAGACUUGGGAAUUCUGUCAUAUUUUCUAGGAAUAGAAGUGUCCUAUGCUGAAGAUUGCAUCUAUCUAUCUCAGAAGAAAUAUAUCUUGGAUUUGUUAUCCAAAGCUAAUAUGCAAAAUUGUAAAGGCUGUGACACUCCCAUAGUUACUGGAUCAAAGCUUCAGAAAGAAGUCACAGGCUGUUUGGGUCAAUAUAUUGAGGAUGCAACAAGCUAUAGAAGCUUAGUUGGAGGUUUACAAUAUCUAGUAUUAACCAUACCAGAGAUAGCAUUUGCUGUGCAUAAGUUGAGCCAGUAUGUGACAGCUCCAACACUCCAGCAUGUUAUGGCUUGUAAAAGAGUUCUUAGAUACCUCAAGGAGACUGCAGAUUAUGGUUUGAAGUUUUCAGCAGGUGGGGAAAUGAAGAUCACAGGAUUUACAGAUGCAGAUUGGGCAUGUGAUGUUGAUGACAGAAAAUCAAUAGGAGCCUAUUGCAUUUAUUUUGGAAGCAAUCUAAUUUCCUGGUCAUCCAAGAAGCAGGCUGUGGUUACACGAUCCAGUGCAGAGAGUGAAUAUCGUGCUCUUGCUUCUGCAAGUGCAGAGAUAACAUGGAUCCAGUCGUUAUUCAAUGAACUUAGCAUUAAGUGUACUUCAUUACCAACUAUCUGGUGUGACAAUAUAAGUGCAACAGAGUUGGCCAAGAAUCCAGUUUAUCAUUCAAGGACUAAACACAUUGAACUGGAUAUGCACUUUAUUAGAGACAAGGUUUUGGCAAAGGAGUUAGAGAUUAACUAUAUUCCCAGCGAGGAGCAAAUUGCUGAUGCUUUGACAAAGCCUCUGACAUUUAUUCAUUUCAACUAUUUCAGAGCCAAACUCAAUGUGCAACCAUGCCCCUUGAGUUUGAGGGGGACUGUCAAGGAAGCUCAUAAUGCAUGGAAGGAUGCAGCACACGUGUGAGAUGAAUAUAGUCAGCUGAAUCAAUUGAAGAGUGGAGUGCCAGCUCAGCUGAAGUUAGUUAGACACGUUAAGAUCAAGUUUUAGUUAGUUCUUCAUUUUCUGUUAAGCUGAAAAACAGCUGAGUAUAAAUACAAGCAUAUUGUAAUCAUUUUGAAGUUAAGUAAAAAUAAAAUAAAGCAUUUGAUUCCAGAAGUUCUUUUACAAAUUUUCUUAGCACUUUAGAUACAUUUUCUCAGUAACCAAACAGUCUGUUCAUUCAAGCUUUUAAGCUUUCAAACAAGUACUUCUAGCAUAGCCGCCGCUACUUGAGCCAUACAGAGCCGCAUGUGCCUCGGUGAAGUUUGUUGACAUAGGCUCGUAGUAUUCAGCUGUAACAACAUGAACCUAAUUCAAGUUUCGUUGCAUCGAUUUCAAAAGGUACGAAUUGUCUGGUGGUAAAUAACGAAAUCUUGCGGUCAGGAUCAGCUGGGAUUGCUGGCGGCCAGAGUUUUUUGCCUCUAAUUGUGUAGCAGCUCGGCACUCGUCAAAGAAUAAACCCGUAUUGGACAUAUCGGUGCUCGUGUUCGGAGCUUUCCAAGCAAAGUCUAGGCCCUGAAAGCCAUAAAGCCUAGCUAUUCUUAUUGAAGAGUCGAUGAAAGAUUUCCUGUGAGAAGAAUUUCUCACCAUUGAAGAAUAUAUAGAAUAGUUUGUAUAUCUUCCUUGUCUAAUGGAGAGAAGUGUAGUGGUUGAUGGGUUCUUUUGUUUCACAGUGCCUGUAAAUUUGGGGAAUAUUUGAUUUCCAUCAAACGGUGAUGAUAAAGAUAGCUGGUAAGUGGUGGAAUUGAUAUCAGCGUAAGAGCAGAUAAGGUGAGUGAAGAGAUCAUAAUUUAUGCCCGAAAUGGUGGACACUUCGCUUGGAUCCAAGUAGCCGACCCUGAUCCACGGUUUUGCUUUCGCGGGAUGAAAUUCUGAAUAGAACAACAUGUGGAAGAUGAUGCUGAUAAUUAUGGAUGCCAUUUGAGAGGCUUAUGCUUCUUAAUUACCACUUCGAUGGGAAUGGAAAUGAAUGCACACUAAUAGAAAUUAAAUAAACACAAGUUUCACAGUUCAUUAAGCUCUCAUGUGUACUAUUAACGUAUAGGUUCAUUUCGUUGCCCAAAAAAAUCUUAUGUGCUCCUGAUAGGGACACAUACAUUGGAUGAUAAGAUGAUGAUAGGCGAUGCGACCAUUGCCCAAGAACUAAGAUUUUCUUCUAUCGCGUGGGUGACUUUUCAUGAAGAAAAAUGAUGUUUUGAUUGACAUAUGGUUAAACCGAUGCCAUAUUUCGGGCUACAAAUAUCAGUAUUGUUUUAUUAAAUAAUUAAAAAAAUUAAUUUUACGUGCAUGUUGAAGGUAAUAUUGCAGUCUUUUGAGCCUGUGUUGAAUUUCAUUCGUGUGCGUUCAUUUAUUAUCUAUCCUCUUUUUUCUCUGUGUGUCUGCUAGCUCUAGUCAUCUUAAAAGAAUAACAUGUUUAAUUAAUGCAUGUAAAUGCACCGCAAAAGUAGUUAAGAAAGACUUGAUCAAAGAUCAGACAUUUUCUCUCUACUCAAAAAGUAGUUAUUGGACUAAUUAAGAUUCUAAUCCCUUUAAGAAAUAUUGAAAAAGGGUUACUGUCACUACUUCAGUCCUUGUUGUUACAUAUAUAUAUAUAUAUAUAUAUAUAUAUAAAUUUAAAGAAGCAUCACAUAAAUCCUUCCUAAUUAUAUUUUGUUUCAUUCAAGUUGUUGACUUAAUUUGUCUGCUUGGAAAAAUUAGUAAAAAGGUAAAAAUAAAAAAAUGUAAAUUCUACUUAUUAGACUAAAUAUAUAGUAUAAAUUUGCAGCAACCAGCAAAAGUUUGGAAUAUGAAAAAUCCUAUUAAUUUUUAAAAAAUCUCCGAAAGUUUGAAAACUAAUAUUUUAAGGUCCUUUUACAAUAACCAUAAUUAACAUGAAUUUACUAAAUUAGGCAAACCCGAAUUACUACCAUAUAAUAAAAUUUUAUAACAGAAAUAAGAAAACAAAACAAAUAGCAUCAAAUCUUAUAUCUAAAAAAAAAUCUUGAAAUAAAUAGAAAAAAUAAGAAAAUAACUAAAACUUGCAAAAUGACCAUGAAAGAAAUGAAAUUUCCGACUGAACCAAAGGGCCAAUACACAUAGCAUUAUUGGACUAGAUCUAUCAUGGUGCAAACUUCAAAACAGUAUAUUAUAUUUUCUAAAUGGACACAUAUAGGUUAAGUUAUGAUAUUAAAAAAUAUCCUAUUCAUCUUACACAACCAUUCUAUGUCACUAUAUCUAUACACUAAUAAUAUAACCCAAACAUUUAUGGAGCAUAACUCACAGACCUCCACUAAUUACACUAAAGUUUACUCUCAUUUUAUAAGAGAGAGAAAUGUUCUCGUUCUCCAUUUAUGGGGGAUUAAACCAAAUGGUCUGUUUUUGAUUUUCUGGUAAGUUGUGUAACGUUGGAGCUUUUUGGCACUUCUUUGACGAAAAGUCGUUCUCUUCGACAACCCAAAAUUCGGGCCAAUGGGCAAUUAUGAAAGUCCAUUGGAUGCAUUGGACCAAACUAAAAGUCCAUAUAUAUAUGUAUAUAUAUAUAUAUAUUCAAUAAAUGAAAUGAAAAAAUGCAAUUGGCUUGCAGUUGCAAAGCUUCUUUGUUUAUUAUUAUAUAAUAUAAUAUAAUAUAAUUUUAUAUCAUUUUGAAUAUCAAAAUUUUAUUUCAAAAUUUAUUUAACACUAGUGUUUAAUAUAAGAUACAAUACUACCAAAAUUCUAUUCAAUAGUUUAUUUAAAAUAGUAUUGACUAUUAAAAAUAAGAAUUUACACUAAUAUUAAAUAUUAAAUUCAACAAUUAGUAACAUUAUUUAAAAUAAUUAUAGUAUUUAAAUGGUUAUUUAUCUUUAUUAAAUAAGAUUUAACAUAAUCCUCUGCGACAUUUUACUAAAUAAAUACAGUACUAUAUAUAAUCCAAUCUAAUCUUAAACAAUAAUCUAUUCUAUUCCUACCUUCCAAAUAUAAACACAAUAGAUAAUGAGAGCAUGAGCUAUGAGAUUAUAAAUCAUGGAUCAAGGGAGUAGAGAUACAGACCUUGAGAUCAUAGAUCGUAGACUAUUAGAGACUAAAGACCGUGGACAAAUCCGAGUACAUUAAAAAAAGGGGAAUUUUAGUCAAAUGUAGAUUGAUAUUAAGGAAUUCAGCAAGCAAGCUACAAGAAUAUCCAAAAGCGUGUAAUUUAUGUUUAAGGAAACAAGUGGAGAUAGAGAUGAAAUUGUAAAUUCAUCCCAAUCUUAAGUGGCUUAAUUCAAGAUGUAUGUUACCUACAAGCACAAUAAUAUGUACACGUUAUGUAUACAUGCAUCACAUACGUGCGUCGAUCAUCGAUGUAAAAGUAACAGUAAAUUUCUAGUAAAACAAACAUCAUUACUUUUAGUAUAAGAUGUAAAAAAUAUCAAUUAAUAACCAUUAGAAAAUAAAAAUUUAUGUAAUUGAUGCAGAUAAAUGGAAUCAAGUAGUAACAUUUCCUUCUCAUUGAAGAGAAAAGAUUAAAAAAAAGAAAAGGGGGGGGGGGGGGGGGGGGGAGGAGCGCAAACAUGACAAUUAUUUUUAUCCGCACGUGCCAUGAUAAUCGAUAAUCCGAUAUACCAACCGCGUCUAAUUGUCUGAAUUCUCAAGCUUAUCAAGCUUGCUCAAUCGCACCGCAGACACUGACCAUGGGAGAUUAAUCACCACUCGCAGUAUUAGGCGCGUGAAGGACACAUUCGCCAAUAAUUUAUAGCGGACAGUAGCAUUCCCGAUGCUGCGCGGAGAAAAAUAGUUGGGCUUGCGAAAGUUAAAUUGACUUGACUCGACAGAGUGAAGAAUGGUGGUGGUUGCUGUUAAGCAGUCGGUACUUCUGGCGACUGCUUGGCUUACACGCAGUUCCCGGGGGUGUCAUUUGACUGUGAAAGAGAAUUUUGGCUUUAUUGAUAUCUUGUUGGAUUUGGAAUUUUGGAUGGCUUCGUGUAGACCAUAAGACACGAUAUCGUUCAUAACACGUUAGCAUUCUUUCUCACGGGAGAAAAACUCGGGUGGGAGCAGAUGUACCAUCUCAACUGCCGUUUAUAAAUGGCUGUCAAAUAAUUAAUCAAAAUUUUAUUAUUUACGGUUAUAAUUGGAAUGAUAAAAAAUCAAUUCGAUGUUAUUCUUUGUGGCUCUGCUUAGAAUACUAAAAAAUCAAAUCGACUUAUUUAUUUUUAUAUUGAUCAUUACAAGUCUCUUGAAUUUUUUACCUACUUCAUUAACUUGUUAUUUUGAGUUGUACGUAACAUGGCUUUUUUUGUUUUUUACUUUACUUUGGUUUUCUUUAUAACCCAUAAAAAUUUUCUUGUUAAGACUGUGUGAACCAAUUGAAACUUCAGAUUCAUACUAGAACUAUGAUGAUUUGAUAAGAGCUUCAAAUUAAAUCCACAGAUUCUAUGAAAAGAAAAGAAAAGAAAAAGUCUUUUAUUGGUAAAAGAAGAAAGCUCUUCGGCACUGAUCCGAAGAAAAAUCAUUCUCCAUACAAUGAGCAAAACAAAGUCCAAUUCGCAUUACAUAGAAGUAAAACCGAAGCAUUGGACUAAAAGCAUACAUUAGUCUUAUUUUUCGUUACUGAUAACAUUUUUUUUCCCUUAUAUUAUCACCUUAAUUAAGAAAAAUAAUAAUUUGUUUAACUAAUUACAAAAAAGGAUGGCUAUAUACAAUAUUCUUGUGUUGGAUGGCCUUAAAAGUCAAUUCUUUUGAAACAGGAAAACUGGUAUCGUUUUUCAAAACACAAAAAUAUUAUGUUAAGAAAAUGAAUGGUCUUUAAGAGUUAUGACAAUGAUAUCAAUAAAAUUACAAAAUCUUAAGAGUUUAUAGAUGUAGUUAGUGAUAUUACAUUACAUUAAUUAAUACAAUGCAAAUUGUUUACUAAUAGAGCCUCAGGAGAGUGAUUCAUUAUUUAGUUGGCCAAUUAAACAACUGCAGCAGUCACUAGCAGCUUGCCAAGAGCUAGCAUAGAUCAAUUGUUCAUCUACCAACCAAUUUUGAAAUUGUUACAUCAUUACUUGAACAUAUUUCCAAUCCAAUCGUGGCUUUGUUUUGUUCAUCUUCAUAAGCUUUGUUUGAGAAACUUGCAGGCUUCUUUGGAGUCAUUAUAUCAGCUGUAUUUUCAUUUUCGAUCAACGAAGAAAUUUCUAGUAUAGAAGGUCUAUUGUUUGGGUUCUCCUGAACACAUAGCAAAGCUACUUGCAGACAUGUCAAUAAUUUCCAUGAGGAAUGCGUAUCAUCUAGUGAUGGAUCCAUUAACUCCGUGCCUUUCCCAUCCUUCCACAACUCGUAUGCCUGAAAACAUCAAAUAUGUUAUUGACUAACAUUCAAUUAAUUAGCACUGUAAUGUUUUGAUUCAGUGAAUAUUAAAAAGGGGGUUAUGAAGAAACUUACAUACUCUACAAGGCUUAGAUUUUCAUUUUGACCAUAUCGAAUGAAAAGUCUUCGCCCACUUAUAAUUUGCAGAAGCAAAACCCCAAAACUGUAGACAUCAGAUUUAGUGGAGUAGAUGCCUCUUCCGACAUAUUCAGGAGGGAUAUAGCCUCUGUAGUAUCAAGUAAUUAUAAAUGUCAGUGUUUGACAUAAAAGAUUAAGUUGAUUGGUAAAGGUUCAACAAUAAUAUUAAAGGCAUGUCAGACAAUAAUAGACAAAUAUACACUUACUGUGUUCCAACAAUUCGAUUUGUGUUUGCUUCAAGAUCAUCUUUCACAAAAAUUCUAGCCAAGCCAAAAUAUGAUAUUUUAGGUGUCAAAUCUUCAUCCAACAAAAUAUUACUAACUUUUAAGUCUCGAUGAAUAAUUGUUAAUCUAGAAUAUUCUUGGAGAUAGAGAAGCCCCUGAAUAAUUCCUUAAAUGAUAUAAAUACGUUUUUUCAAAUCCAAAAUAAGCCUUCGGAUGGGAUCUGCAUCAAAUGUAAACUUAGUUGGACGGUCAGCACCAUUAGCAUUUGGAGACAGAGAAAUGCAAAUUGAGGCACAAAAAUUAGAAAUUAAGCAGUUAAGCACACACCAAAAAGGAAAUAGUCUAAGCUUCGUUUUGGCAUAUACUCAUAGAUGAGCAUAUAUUCUUGCGUGUCGAUGCAAAAACCCAAAACUCUGAUCAAAUUUAUGUGUUGAAGCUUUGCAGUAAGCAUAACCUCAUUCUUGAACUCCUCAAAUCCUUGUGUGGAUGUCUUCGAGAGUUUCUUCACUACUAUUAUUUGUCCAUCAGGUAAUGCACCCUGCAAGCACCCCCCAAAAUAUAUGUUUUUUUAAAAAUCAGUGUGUUCACACACACACACACGUAGCUUGCACUAAUUAAUUAAUAAGCUAAGAGAUAACCAAGCUACCGAUACAUAACCUUGUAAACAGGACCAUAUCCACCCUCCCCGAGCUUAUUUUCGAUUGAAAAUCUAUCCGUGGCCACCUCAAUAUCAGCCAAGCUAUAUUCUCUCAGAUCAGGAUCAUUGCUGUUAAAAUCUCCAGCAUCUGCUUGACUAUUUUCGCUGUCCUUUGAUGCUUUGGCUGAGUCAAUUACGGUCCAAUUAAUAUCAACCAAGAGAAAGAAAGCUAAUUUAAGUGAAUUGCCCACUUCUUCAUCUGUGUUAAAUGGAAUAGAAGUAAAAAUAUUCCUAAUCCCGUGUAGAAGAAGUUACCUUUUAAUUUGAGGUUUUUCAUCCAGCAGUAGUAAUACAGUAAAAAACCAAUUAGAAGAAUACAAGCUGCCGUUAUAGGGAAAACAAUUGCCCAUAAUAGUCGCUUAUUUUGUCGAUUCUUAUUUUCCUCUUGAGCUGAAAAGUCAAAUCACUUUGUGUUAGUUAAACAUUUGAUGGUCAAAUAAAGAUCUUAAUUGAAGUCAUUAUGCAGAGAACUGAUCAAAUGGAUAGCAGGCAGUGACUGAGGCUUUGCAUUUGCUUACCUGCAGCUUGAGAAAGCAUCCAAUAAUGAUCAUAGGAAACUAGCCACACAAAGUAACCACGUAGUUUCUUCUCCUUGGCAUAUGAAACCUUCACUCUAACGGCUUCGACAUCAUCAAAACCAAACCAAAUCUUCCCAAUCGAGAAGUAAUUCAUCACAUAAGUUGAAUUGUACAUAACUUGAACGUUAGGACCAUAGUGCUUGAUGCGAUUCUUGAUUUCCUUAUAAGUCACAAGGCCGCUAGAAUACAAAGCUGGUCCUGUUGCUGCUGCACCAAUACCGUUGUCCUCAGGUUUCACAAGCGUCCAUGCAUAGCCAUAGAAAGGUAAACAUAAAACCAAUUUAUCAGCCGAUAACCCUUCCUCAAUCCAUUCCGUGAUUCCGUAUUCAGUAUUGGAGAUACUAUUUGGAUCAUACAGAGCCGCGUGAGCACCAGUAAAAUUUGACCACAUAGGUUUUGUGUAUUCAGUAGUCAAAACAUGAACCCAAUUCAAGUAUUGACUUAUCGAGUCGACUGGGUAAGCUCCUGCUCUUGAGAAUGGUGAAUAUGCGACCAUUGCCGUCAAAAUCAACUGUGAUUGGCUCGAGUUAUUUCUUGCUUCUAAAUCUACGGCUGCUCGCCACUCUUUAAAGAGAAUGCCAAUAUUGUACUUAUCCCAGCUUGUGUUUGCCUGAGGCCAAGAGAGAUCUAAGCCUUGAAAGCCAUAAAGUCUUCCUAUUUUUAUUGAGGAGUCAAUGAAGGAUUUCCUAGAAGAAGGAUUGCUCGCCAUGGAAGAAUAAGUUGAAUAGUUUGCAUCAUUUCCUCCGAUGGAAAGAAGUGUAGUGAUUGAUGGGUUCUUUAUUUUGACAGUGUCAGUGAAGUUAGAGAAUUGUUUUUCAUCAGAAGGUGAUAAAGAAAGCUCAUAGGAAGUUGAAUUCGUUGAAACAAAAACAAACGUUAUGCCUUUGAUCGUGCAUUUCCAAAUAAACACAUAUUUUAGGUAAUUCCGAAAUUUACCACGAUCUCCCAUGAAUCCGAACUUGCAGCUUGUUAUGGAGCUUCAACAGAGUUGCUGCUGCUUCGGUCUAGCUUCUGAAUUCCGCUUUCUUUUCCUUCAGCUCCAGAUUCGGCUUUUCUCAGUAAGUUACUGUACACACACGGGAGAGAAACGGGAGAGAGAGAGAUGCACUGCACUCAUGCCAGAGAUUUCUUGAACAGUCAACUUCCAAUGGGCUGAAGUUACUUAAAUACAGUGGUUGAGCGCAGGGAACCCUCAUGUGUUAGUACAAAAUUACCCAUCCCAUUAUGGGCUUAAAUAACACAAUUAAGGAUAUACUUGUCCAUAAUAUACUACUGUACAGGGUAUGUCAAAAUUAGACUCAUUAACACCAUAUUUGAUCACUUAAUAAAUGAGUCUGUCAAAAUUGCUCAACAAUAUUUGACUUUAGUCACGUAUUAAUUCGGUAAAAUAUAGAAAAUAAUUAGAAUGAUUUAUGUCAGUCCACAUAAUGUGAGAAAUAAAUCUAACAGAAUUGACAUUAGCAAAACCACAUAUAAGGUGAGUGAAAAGAGCAGAAUUUACAUCUGAAACGGGGAACCCGUUGCCUGAAUCCCAGUAACCAGCUCUGAUUAAAGUUUGUGUUCCUGCAGGAAGCGAUUCUGAAAAUAUAAAAAUGUGGAGGACAAGAAUGAUAAUUUUGGAUGCCAUUGUGGGAACCUAGCUGCUUUGAGGCAUACCUAGUAAGUGAUUACAUAUAUAUGUACACACACAAUGUAAUGGAGAAAAUAUCCGAUAGCGAUUGAGAUUAGUUAUUGGACUAUAAUACA